GAUGAACGCUGGCGGCGUGCCUAAUACAUGCAAGUCGAGCGAACAGACGAGGAGCUUGCUCCUCUGACGUUAGCGGCGGACGGGUGAGUAACACGUGGAUAACCUACCUAUAAGACUGGGAUAACUUCGGGAAACCGGAGCUAAUACCGGAUAAUAUAUUGAACCGCAUGGUUCAAUAGUGAAAGACGGUUUUGCUGUCACUUAUAGAUGGAUCCGCGCCGCAUUAGCUAGUUGGUAAGGUAACGGCUUACCAAGGCAACGAUGCGUAGCCGACCUGAGAGGGUGAUCGGCCACACCGGAACUGAGGCACGGUCCAGACUCCUACGGGAGGCAGCAGUAGGGAAUCUUCCGCAAUGGGCGAAAGCCUGACGGAGCAACGCCGCGUGAGUGAUGAAGGUUUUCGGAUCGUAAAACUCUGUUAUUAGGGAAGAACAAAUGUGUAAGUAACUAUGCACGUCUUGACGGUACCUAAUCAGAAAGCCACGGCUAACUACGUG
rnacentral:rRNA from 1 species